rnacentral:rRNA from 1 species
AGAGUUUGAUCCUGGCUCAGGAUGAACGCUGGCGGCGUGCUUAACACAUGCAAGUCGAGCGAAGCACUUUGGUUAGACUCUUCGGAUGAAGACUUUAGUGACUGAGCGGCGGACGGGUGAGUAACGCGUGGGUAACCUGCCUCAUACAGGGGGAUAACAGUUAGAAAUGACUGCUAAUACCGCAUAAGACCACAGAGCCGCAUGGCCCGGUGGUAAAAACUCCGGUGGUAUGAGAUGGACCCGCGUCUGAUUAGCUGGUUGUGGGGUAACGGCCUACCAAGGCGACGAUCAGUAGCCGACCUGAGAGGGUGACCGGCCACAUUGGGACUGAGACACGGCCCAAACUCCUACGGGAGGCAGCAGUGGGGAAUAUUGCACAAUGGGCGAAAGCCUGAUGCAGCGACGCCGCGUGAAGGAUGAAGUAUUUCGGUAUGUAAACUUCUAUCAGCAGGGAAGAAAAUGACGGUACCUGACUAAGAAGCCCCGGCUAACUACGUG